rnacentral:rRNA from 1 species
GACGGGGGGUCCUAGCGUUGUCCGGAAUCAUUGGGCGUAAAGAGCGCGUAGGCGGCCAGAUAAGUCCGGUGUGAAAGUCAAAGGCUCAACCUUUGAAUGCCGCUGGAAACUGUCUGGCUAGAGUCCGGGAGGGGCGAGUGGAAUUCCUGGUGUAGCGGUGAAAUGCGCAGAUAUCAGGAGGAACACCAAUGGCGAAGGCAGCUCGCUGGAACGGUACUGACGCUGAGGCGCGAAAGCGUGGGGAGCAAACAGG